rfam:Asian citrus Psyllid, Diaphorina citri - Florida Strain, whole genome shotgun sequence.
AAAGCAGGUUAAGUGCACGGUCAAUGCACUUGUUCCGAUGAUCACUGAAGUUAAAGAACGCUGAGCGUGGUUAGUAUCUGGAUGGGUGACCCUGGGGGCGAUUGCGUACUCGAGUUU